ACCACCCUAAUCGUGCCCAAUCUCGUCUGGUCUCAGAAGCUAAGCAAGGUUGGGCCUGAUUAGUACUUGGAUGGGAGAUAAAUCUUCAAAAAAGACUGCUC
rnacentral:rRNA from 1 species